AAUGAACGCUGGCGGUAGGCCUAACACAUGCAAGUCGAACGGCAGCACCGUAAGAUCUUGCUCUUACGGGUGGUGAGUGGCGGACGGGUGAGGAAUGCAUCGGAAUCUACUUUUUCGUGGGGGCUAACGUAGGGAGACUUACGCUAGUACCGCAUACGACCUACGGUUGAAAGCAGGGGAGCUUCGGACCUUGCGCGAUUGAAUGAGCCGAUUUCGGAUUAUCUAGUCGGCGGGGUAAAGCCCGACGUAGGCGACGAUCCGUAGCUGGUCUGAGAGGAUGAGCCGGCCCGCUAGAACUGAGACACGGUCCAGACUCCUACGGGAGGCAGCAGUGGGGAAUGUUGGAGAAGGGGCGAAAGUCUGACCCAGCCAUACCGCGUGAGUGAGGAAGGCCUUCGGGUGGUUGAGCGCUUUUGUUGGGAAAGAACAGCAGCCUGUUAAUGCCCCGUUGUUCUGACGGUACCUAAAGAAGAAGCACCGGCUAACUUCGUG
rnacentral:rRNA from 1 species